UACAGAGGGCCCGAGCGUUGUUCGGAUUCACUGGGCGUAAAGGGUGCGUAGGUGGCAGGGUAAGUCGGAUGUGAAAGCUCGGAGCUCAACUCCGAAAUGGCGUUGGAAACUACCCAGCUCGAGGGUUGGAGGGGGGACUGGAAUGCUUGGUGUAGCAGUGAAAUGCGUAGAUAUCAAGCGGAACACCAGUGGCGAAGGCGAGUCCCUGGACAACUCCUGACACUGAGGCACGAAAGCUAGGGGAGCAAACAGG
rnacentral:rRNA from 1 species